GUGGGGAAUCUUCCGCAAUGGACGAAAGUCUGACGGAGCGACGCCGCGUGAGUGAAGAAGGCCUUCGGGUCGUAAAGCUCUGUCAUCAGGGACGAACGGCCGGUGGAGUGGAAAGCCACCGGAUUGACGGUACCUGAGAAGGAAGCCACGGCUAACUACGUGCCAGCAGCCGCGGUAAUACGUAGGUGGCAAGCGUUGUCCGGAAUUAUUGGGCGUAAAGUGCGCGCAGGUGGGAUCUUAAGUCCAUUUUGAAAGUUCGGAGCUCAACUCCGUGAUGGGAUGGAAACUGGGAUUCUUGAGUACCGGAGAGGAAAGCGGAAUUCCCCGUGUAGCGGUGAAAUGCGUAGAUAUGGGGAGGAACACCAGUGGCGAAGGCGGCUUUCUGGACGGUGUCUGACACUGAGGCGCGAAAGCUAGGGGAGCGAACGGGAUUAGAAACCCUAGUAGUCC
rnacentral:rRNA from 1 species